GAAAUAUAAUUUAAAUGAAGCUGCUAACUUUAUUUCUAGUGAUUAAAUUUCAUUAAUAUUUCU
rnacentral:tRNA from 1 species